AUGCACACACAAGAAUAAAUGUGUUGCUGCAAGACAUCAAAUAAUUUGGUUUGUUAUUUGUACGAGACGGGGCUGGACUCGGAGCUCUAGAACCUGUUGGACCUGUAAACGUUUUAAAGACAGCACGAUGGCACGCGUCAGAGAUCUCAGAUAAUGAUUUUCUGUAAAGAACAGCUGCAAAAACGAAGCAGAAGAAUUACAGCUGUCACAGGCGAUGAGCUGGGAAGGACAGGACAUGAUCCAGAGAAGAGUCUAACAGGAGAGCAGAGUCUGAAGCCUCUUUCUUUACAAAAACCCACUAACACUGACUAACAUCUGGACUGUGUCUCUAGUGGGAAAGGACGC
ensembl:lncRNA